rnacentral:rRNA from 1 species
UACGUAGGUGGCAAGCGUUAUCCGGAUUUACUGGGUGUAAAGGGCGUGUAGGCGGGACUGCAAGUCAGAUGUGAAAAUUAUAGGCUCAACCCAUAACCUGCAUUUGAAACUGUAGUUCUUGAGUGAUGGAGAGGCAGGCGGAAUUCCGUGUGUAGCGGUGAAAUGCGUAGAUAUACGGAGGAACACCAGUGGCGAAGGCGGCCUGCUGGACAUUAACUGACGCUGAGGCGCGAAAGCGUGGGGAGCAAACAGG